GCUCGCUUUCAAAAUUCGCCAUGGCUAUUAUAAAGGAAAAAAACAAGAUCAAACAGUAAGUAUAGAUCUCAAAUUUGAGAUUUUCUGAUGGCAUGGCAAAGAUGUAAUUUCCCUUUUUACCCAUGUUGUGAUUUGUGACUCCAGAUUUAGCUCAAGAAGUGGCACGUGAAAAGGUAGGUUUUUAUCUUCUGAUGUCUUUAAAAUGUGCACCUAAAUUUGUUUUGCGCUCAACAGGGCUCGGAACUCUAAGGCAAAUCACUUCAAAAGUUAAAAUUGUGUUGUGUUAUGUUAUUAACAGUGGUUAAUGGGUGAAUUGUCAAAUCAGACAUCUUUUUCCCUUUCCCUCUUUUUCAGACUCCAAGCCUGGAGAAAAGAGGAGCAUCUGUAUUAAAAACUGUCCGGACUCCACAAGAUUGCAAAGCAGUCUUGUGUUGGGAGGGGCUGAUUUGAAGACCUGCAUGUUUCCAAGACCAUGGACAGAUUUUACACAAAUGACAAUAUGCGUGGUGGUGAAACUCGUGCAAAGAGGGCGCACAAAAAGACUGCUCUGAUAGCGCUGAGUAAUCCCAAGGUCUACAAUGGGUGGUGCCUGAUGUCCAUCGGGUUCAUCUUUGUAGAAGCUGUUGACGCACUCACAGAGCCCACGGAUGAUGAAACAAGGACCGCAAUGGCUUCAAAAUUAAAACAGGCUCCAGCGCUGAGUUGCAAAGGGGGCUAUCAAAACCCCACAAGAGAGUGAUGUUUAUAUUGUUUCCCCCUUGUGUUUCGCCGAGCUGGUCGUUUUGUUAAUUUGAUAUGUCCUACAUAAAAUAUGUAUAUAUUUAUAUUGUAACUUAGUAGUUUUGUUCUAUUAAAUAGCCCUCAUUUAUUAAUAUUGUAUGUAUAUUUUUAC